GGACACUUCUCAGAGCGUCUGUUCUCGGUCUGGGGCUGCUGGGUGUUUUCCUGCUGGCUGGACUCAUCGGCCUCGCUGUCCACUACCAUAACUCAGAUGGUGGUGCAGCUGCAGAUCUCUCCGCUGUCAAAGCAGACCUCACCUCAGUGACUGAAGAGAGAAACAACCUGACUGAGCGUCUCCAGGCCAGAGAUCAGCGGAUCAAACGGCUGGAGUACAGGCUUCAGUGUUUGAUGGAGAAAACGUGUCCUGAAGGAUGGAAGAUGUUCAGUUGUUCCUGUU